CAAAUACUCCCUCUGUCCCAAAUUUCUUUUCUUAGAUUUGUCUAGAUACGGAUGUAUCUACUAGAUACAUCCGUAUCUAGACAAAUCUAAGACAAGAAUUUUGGGACAGAGGGAGUACUUU
rnacentral:pre_miRNA from 1 species